CUCCACAUUUCACUACAAACCCUAGAUCCUCCACCGCACCUCCACCUUUCAUCCAUGGAACCGGUCGUCGCCAUCACCGUCUUCUCCCCUUUCAUCCAUGGAACCGGUACCGUUUUUUACCCUAUCUUUUGAAGACGAAGACCGAUGAACAGGUGAAAGAGAGAACAGUGCGGCUUGGUUCAAGAACCUUCAAAUUCAGCCUUAGUGGUUUGUUUAAUUGAUGUGGGUGGACGUUACAGUAAGCUUAUAGGCAUGAUUACUAAGAAAGAUGCUGCUACAGUUGGUGUCAUCCUGGGAAUCGAAUGUAUUCACAAUAAGUUUCCAGAAGACUUCAUUAAGGGUCUGAUUCUAUCUGUUUGUUCUUUGCUUCCACUUGAGCCUCUUUUAGACGGGUGUGAAAAGAGUGCAUAUCUGAUGUUGUUAUUAUGUAUUGACCCCAAGCCGAUCCCAGUCAGUUUUGGAUUGUAGUUUAUCAGCAACUUCUUCUGUUGUAUCUUCUCUACCCGAGUCUGUCAGAAGCUAAAUGGGAAUGGGGAUAGUUGAAACAAAAAGUAGGGUAUAUCCCAAACGGGUCAAAAAUAUGAAACUACGAGGCAGAGCGGCUGGGAUUAUAGUCACCUGGAUCGAGGUACACUCCAGUAUACAGUAUACAGAACGAAAACAGAUUUGCUGCUGCAUUGAGAGAUCUGAAAGUCAGGGUAAUGAAUGUGGUGCCACUUGAUUCCCCAGAUACACUUCCAAUUAUAUACGAACGUGGACUAUUUGGGAUAUAUCAUGACUGGUGUGAAUCAUUCAACACUUACCCAAGAACGUACGAUCUUCUACAUGCUGAUCAUCUUCUCUCGGGUCUUAAGAAAAGUACUUUGCAAGGUGGGUUUGAGUUACCGACACGUCUUUCGGUGGCUGCAGCAGAUUGUAUUAUAGCUCUUAGUGUUGCAUUGGCGAAAAAGGGAAUGGUUUCUAAUCCUUCAUGAUGUGAUGUAUCUCAAUGAUCUUGGUUUACAACUUUAUAGUAUGAUAUUGGUUUAAAAAAGCGCGCCCUAGGCGUUUGCAACAAGGCUCAAGCCCUUGCGCUUUUGGUAGCAAGUUGUUGUACAACAUGCUUUUCAGGUUGUACAUGUAUGUAAUUUCCAUAUUAAAACAUAUAUAAAGUUUACUUUUUUCUUAAUAUUGGAUAACUGAUGCUAGAAUCGUGUAGAAAAUAUACAAAAAAUUGUAUAAUUAUUUGCACCUCGGGUAUGAAAAUCAGUGUGCUUUUUUGUCUGGCGCCUAAGUUUUAGACCUUAUCGCUUUUUACGUGCUUCUUGCUUUUUAAAACCAAGCAGUCGGGUUAUGAUAUCUUUUAAGAUUAUAAAAAAUACUACUAUAUACGGUUUUGUUGUGGGUAAUUGGGCGGGUAUCACCUAAUACUAAUACCAUACCCGUCCCAAACCCAUUAAAAAUUUUUAGAACUAAUACCAUACUCGAAUAGCCAUCCGGAAUGUUUCGGGAUUUUGUGUUGAUUGUGGAUUUUUUUGCCAUCUCUAAUUAUAAACAACCCCUUAGCUGUGAUUUAUGGUAUAUCCUACACACACAUAAUGUCGAUACUGUUAGUCAAAUACGAUGCCCAACUUUUUCCCGAACUGGAGUUCUAAUCAUCUUCAACUUUGACAGGUAUUAAGGAAUCAGACACUGGUCUAGAUGCACCUAGCCAAUGGGAUCUUGUUUCCAAUAAACAAAUGAUGCAAGAGGAGCAACCUCUUCAGGUGGCUUGAUGCACAAAGAUAUCAAUGUCAAACAAAUUGCAAAGUUUGUUGUUGGGUUGGGUGACAAAGUUUCACCAACUGAUAUCGAAGAAGGCAUGCGUGUUAGGUGACAUAAAGUCCCAUGACAUAAUUUUAUCAUGAUCUGCUGAAGGUUUUGUCAGGUCGUGGGAGCAUGUUCAGUUUACAUUCUGUAUUGAAAGUGAAUACAAAAAUCAUCGGCUUGUUUUAAUAUGAAUCGGCGGUGGUGUUAGUUCGAGAGUCAAAUGAUGAUGAUCGGUGGCUGUUUUGGAAGUUGCACAAAAAGUUUCCGGUCGCAAUCAAAUUGGUCAAUUAUGUCAACAGUGUCGGGUCCGCAUUUGAGUCUGGUCAUCUGCGUCGACACGAGUCGGUUACAAGAGCAUGGGUUUGGUGAUGGUUUUUUAUGAUUUUAGAUAAUAUUUUGUUGCAUAUUUUUUGUUUUUGUUGGCUGUUGAAAGGUUAUUUUGU